rnacentral:lncRNA from 1 species
GGUUUUCCCAAAGAAUAAACUCAGAGGCAAGCCCUUCAGGGGAACGCUUGAUGUGUUAUGGUGAAUCUGAAACUUUUGUCCUCUAAAGAGCCUUUUUUUUUUUUUUUUUUUUUAGAGACAAGGUCUCACUGUCACCCAGACUGUAGUGCAGUGGCACAAUCACAGUUCACUGCAGCCUCGACCUCUCAGGCUCAAGCCAUCCUCCCACCUCAGCCUCCCUAGUAGCUGGGACCACAGGUGCAUAGCCCGAUGCCUAGACAAUUUUUUAUAUUUUUGUAAAGACAGGGUCUCGCUAUGUUGCCCAGGCUGGUCUCAAACUCCUGGGCUCAAGUCAUCCUCCCGCCCCUGCCUCCCAAAGUGCUAGGAUUACAGGCAUGAGCCACCAUGCCCAGCCAGGAGGGCUUCUUUUAAAAGCGAUAAUAGCUACUUCAGAGAACAAGCCCCCACUACAAAUUCAUUUUCCAGAUUCUAUAAGCUUCCUGUUGAGUGGCAAGAACAAAUAUUUCAGGGAGAAUUCUAAGGUAUAGUAUCAGUCGAAUGUCUGUCAGUUUAAAAUGGGGACUUACGGUCAUUUAAAAGAUAAACUAGCAUGAGGAUGGCUUGAGACCGGGGGAGCAGAGGUUGCAGUGAGCCGAGAUCACGCCACUGCACUCCAGCCUGGGAGACAAAGUGAGGGUCCAUCUCAAAAAAUAAAUUAAAUAAAUCAAUAAAAAGUAAAAGAUAAACUACUAUGAGCAGAGUGUCUUUUUUUCUACCCUGCUUUCAGUACUUGCUAGGAGUAAGGUGAUGAAGAUCCCUUUCUUGCUCAGUUAAUGUGACAGCAGUCAUGCCUGCUGACAUAACCGCGGAAUGCCAAAUGACCUAUUCAUUCAUUUCAUUCCUUGCACUAGAACAUCAGAGCAGAGAAUCCACAAAUGCACCCACAUAUCCAAAGCUGAUGGCAUUUUGGCCUCUUUCUGCCCCCAUUACUGUGAAAAGAUUUCUCCAAGGGAACCUGAAAGUAAUCUUUGUGGGUUGCAGCAAACGUACACACCCUUUUGGAAUUUUAUCAGGCAAUCUUAGCACAGGGCAGCUCAAACAAAGCAGGGCCCCACAGCGUCAGUGGCCUUCACUUAAGCACUAGAGGAACACAAUACCAGCCUGUAACCGUCUCCUUACAGAACUUGAAAGGGCUGCACCACUGCCGAGCUAUGGGACAGAUGGAUUUCAACAGAGUGAUGACAUUAUGGGAAGCACAUUAACCUUCUCCAAAGCAGCAACAAAAGAAAAGCAAGAUUCAAUCACUGGAAUGAAAAACUAUUUCACAAAUUCAGUGAAUGUUUUAAGUCCUCUAAAAUUUGGCAUUUUGACUUUUGGAAUUAAUGAGUAGGAAAAUUUAUUUAAAAUGAAUAUUCCCCCAAAAAGAGAAGCCAUUUGAACCCUAAACUCUCUCAUCCAACAGAGCUAGCAAAUUAGAUUUAAGAAGAAAGAUAAUUUGAUUCCUCUGAGUUUCUCUACAAGGAAACAUCAAUCAGAGUGAAAGAAGAAUACACACUUUCCAAGGAACUUCUUGCAUUUCCCUCCAGGAGGAAAGUCCAGAGAAAUAAUUGGGUCUUUUAAUCCUCCGAGAAUGGUCUCCAAUGGCUGGCACUAGGACCAAAAAUCUCAGCAACCACGGGGAGAUGGCAGUGUGGUAAGACAUGGGGGAAGGUGGAAUAAAAGAGAAACAAAAGAGAUGGGUAUCUGCAAGAGAUGUGGGAAAAAUAUUAGGGACAAACAGACACACACGUGUAUACACACACAUUCAUUGUUCCCCUCUCCCCUCUCUCUUCUACAAAUUUGAGAGAAUUAAAGGAGAAAAGGAAAGACACUUAAGAGAAAUGAGGCUAUGAACUAUGGCAUAGAUCUCCAUUAAUGUUCUUUGAGAACUGCAAGUAAAUAUGGGAAUAUUUUCAAUUCUUUUUAUUGGAUAGAGCCUUAUAGUGCCUGAGAGUUAGUUGAAUUAGAAUCAUUACUUUGGUAAAAUGUUCUGCUUACUUUAUUUAUUUAUUUAUUUAUUUAUUUAUUUAUUUAUUUUUCUCUGAAAUAUAUGGACAUAUAAAUGACAUUCUGCUUAAUUAUGAUUCAUCAUUCAUGAAAUAUUAUCUUCAAAGCAUAGAUAUUAGAACAUAUCUGUCUUAAAUAUAAAACAUGAUUAAAUUAUUCUUUGAUUAUAUACAUAUCUUUCACUCCCUACUCAAACUCUCAUCAGGAUUCCACAGUGUUAAUACCCCUCUUGAAACAAUUCCUCUUUUUGUUACUGUAACUCUCCAUCCUCCAUUUCCCAA